UACGUGAGGGGGCAAGCGUUGUCCGGAUUUAUUGGGCGUAAAGAGCGUGUAGGCGGCCAGGCAGGUCCGUUGUGAAAACUCGAGGCUCAACCUCGAGACGUCGAUGGAAACCGUCUGGCUAGAGUCCGGAAGAGGAGAGUGGAAUUCCUGGGUGUAGCGGUGAAAUGACGCAGAUAUCAGGAAGAACACCGAUGGCGAAAGCAGCUCUCUGGGACGGUACUGACGCUGAGGCGCGAAAGCGUGGGGAGCGAACAGG
rnacentral:rRNA from 1 species